UACGUAGGGUGCAAGCGUUAAUCGGAAUUACUGGGCGUAAAGCGUGCGCAGGCGGUUUUGUAAGUCUGACGUGAAAUCCCCGGGCUCAACCUGGGAAUUGCGUUGGAGACUGCAAGGCUAGAAUCUGGCAGAGGGGGGUAGAAUUCCACGUGUAGCAGUGAAAUGCGUAGAGAUGUGGAGGAAUACCGAUGGCGAAGGCAGCCCCCUGGGCCAAUACUGACGCUCAUGCACGAAAGCGUGGGGAGCAAACAGG
rnacentral:rRNA from 1 species